CCAGCGCCCCCUCCGCCCAUCUUCCCGCGGACCAGAGCGCAGUCACCUCCUUCCUCAACAAUCGUUCAUAACGCGCUGAUGAUAGCAGUAAAACAAGGCUAAUUAUGCCCACCUCCCCUGAUUCCUGAGCAGAUCAAAUAAUGAGUGAGCAUCAGUGGUAGUAGAGCUUGCAAAAUUCAAACAUGGACCCUGCUGAAUGUGUCACCUGCGUCCUGCUGAUGCAUAUGCUCACCUCUGGAGCACAGGUGAGGUCUUAAGUGACCACAAAAGAAGGACCAGACAGAGUAACAAAGAGGAGGGACGCUGUGGCAGACCAAAAAAGCAAAGAGGACCUGUGGCGUUGGCUGAAAGAUACUGCACUCAGUUACUAACUUGUCCUUCAGAUAAGUGGUCUCAUAUUUUAAGAUUUCAGUCUCCUCAUCUGGAAAAUGGGGAUAUUUACACUCAGUUCUUUACCUUAUGGGUGGUCCUGAGGGCCAAAUAAGAAAAUGGCUAUACUUAAAAGCUUUUUUUAAUAAAAGGUCCCUAACGAAGCUCAACGGAUGAUUAAAAGCAUUUGCUGUCUCCAAACCGUCCCCCACACACCCAUAGGCCCAAGGGUGCUUAGAUCCCCAUUUUCAAAACUCAUCCCUAGUCCCCUUCCAUCCCUCCUCUUCUUCCUUUGCUCUAAUCAAUGGAUCUUGAUUGAUCAAUGAACAGCCCCACCCCUCCAAUCCAGGCUGGCUCCCAGAUAGCUUUGUGUAAAGGCCUGGAUUAAAAUGGUCCCUGUUUCUACUGAUUUGGAAAGAACUCCUCCUUUAGGAUUGUUGAGACAGGACGCUCUGUGGGCUCCAGCCCCAACGGCAGCUCACGUGGAAGAAGAGGAGAGAUCCAUCUCCACCCCUCCUGAAAACCCUGAAAGAUACUCCAUUGUCUGGAAGGACCACCAUUUAUCCACCUGCCUACUGAAGGAUGCCUUGGUUGCUCCCAAGCUUUGGCAAUUAUGAAUAAAGCUGCUACAAAUAUCCAUGUACAGGUUUGGGUGUGGAUAUAAACUUUCAGCUCCCUUGGGUAAAUACCAAGGAGUGUGAUUGCUGGAUCACACGGUAAGAACAGGCUUAGUUUUGUAAGAAAUAGUCAAACUGUCUUCCAAAGUGGCUUUCCCAUUCCAUAUUCCUGCUAGCAAUGAAUGAGUUUCCUGUCGCCCCACAUCAUCUGCAGCAUUUGGUGCUGUCAGUGUUCCAGAAUUUGGCCUCUCUAAAAUGUGGGUAAUGGUAUCUCAUUGUUGUUUUAAUUUUCCUUUCCCUGAUGGUAUAUUACGUGGAACAGCUUUUAUGUUUGUUUACCGUCUAAAUAUCUUCUUUGGUGAGGUAUCUGUGAAGAUCUUUGACCCAUUUUCUAAUUGGGAUGUUUGUUUUCUUAUUGUUGAGUUUUAAGUGUUCUUUCUAUAUUUAGUGCCUUGUAUAAUAGUGCCUUAUCAAAUAUGCCUUUUGCAAAUAUUUUCUCCCAAUCUGUGGCUUGUCUUCUCAGUUUCUUGAUGAAUGUUCAGUUUUAAAAAUUUAAUCUAAUUUUACAAGUAAUACAAAAAUUUAUUUUCUGUGGGGGAAAAACAAUGAAACGGUACAAAAUCUGCCUUGAUUUUUAUCCUCUGAGUCCACUCUCACCACAGCCCACGGGUUAUGCCUGUUAUCUCUUCUGAGUGUAUUCUUCCCCAUCCUGCUCUAUGUGUUUUUAAUUGCACAUGUUUCUAUUUCCGUGGGGAAUAAAUAGCUCUAUUUUGCGUGCAUGUGGUUUACAUAAAUGUUGGCAUAUCACACCUAUUGUUUGCCAACUCUGGUCAUACUAUCUUGAAAAUUCAUCUGUGUUAGGAUGUAUACAGCUACCUCAU